rnacentral:misc_RNA from 1 species
UAUCGUACAACCGAGGCGCGGAGGGCUGUCGCUGACUUUUGCCGUGCACGCCCGAAGCGCUCUCACCACAAUAUCCAUCUCACCCAUUUGUGCAUCAUCGCGUGGGUCCUGCUUUUUGGCUCGCUCCAAGGAGGGGGGCUCGCGUUUUCACACAAAACACCCUUUUAAUGCAGUGUAGAAUGUUCUUGCGAUGACUCGCAAUAAAUACAACUUUCAACAACGGAUCUCUUGGCUCUCGCAUCGAUGAAGAACGCAGCGAAAUGCGAUACGUAACGUGAAUUGCAGAAUUCAGUGAAUCAUCGAAUCUUUGAACGCACCUUGCGCCCCUUGGCAUUCCGAGGGGCACACCCGUUUGAGUGUCGUGACAUUCUCAAAAAGAACCCUUCUCGGUCUUGCGAUCGGGAAAGGCCUCUUUUUGGACUUUGGAGGUUAUUGCUGGUCCCCCCUUGAUAGCCAGCUCCUCUUAAAUGAAUUAGUAGGGACCACUUUGCCGACCCUAGACGUGAUAAGAUGUUUCUGCGUCUUGGGUAUUCGCUCUGUCCUUUGGAAACCUGCUUCUAACCGUCUUGUCAAAAGACAGCGUUCGAGCCUUUCUCGUUGAUCGGGCAAGGCUUGACUUGACGAACCUUGACCUC